AUGCAGGUUAACCAGAUAGGACCGACACACACAUGUGUUUCAAGUAGCAGGCUCAAUUCAGCAAUGGCCUCGCAAGAUUGGGUUCAAGAAAGGUUCAAGAAAAUUUUAAGGAAAACUCCAAACAUUGGUUGCAAGGAUUUACAAGAAAAGUUGGAGGAAGACUGGAAUGUAACCACUGGCUAUCGUACUGUAUGGAAGGGGAGGGAGAGAGCAAAGGAUGAGAUAUAUGGUUCUUGGGGUAGUAGCUUCCGUUACCUAUAUAGUUUUAAACCAGAGAUGGAACUUAGAUCCCCUGGAAGCAUUGUUGAGGUCAAUACUAAGCUAACAAAAGGUAAAGUUUACUUUCACAGAUUUUUUAUGGCACUUAAGCCUUGUGUAGAUGGAUUCCAUGCUGGAUGUAGGCCUUAUCUUAGCAUAGACUCAACUGCAUUGAAUGGAAAGUGGAAUGCCCAUUUAGCUGCAUGCACAGCUUUAGAUGGACAUAAUUGGAUGUUUCCACUUGCAUUUGGCUUUAUCGAGGUUGAAGAUGAAGAUAAUUGGACAUGGUUCAUGACAUAG
rnacentral:rRNA from 1 species